UAUAUUUUUGCAACGACACAGUUUAACUUAACAAAUGUUUAUAAAAAUUUAUAUAAAUUAUUUUGUUCCUAAGAAAUGAAGAAUUUGCUAAAGAACGUAACUCUUGCAGUUCUUACAACAGAGAUUCCUGGACUUCUUCAAUUGGAUGAAAAUAAAGAGAAGUUUGUAAACAUAGGAAUUAUGUCAAGAAUCUUUCUUGUUCUUGUCGAAUAUCUCGGAUUCAAGUAAGAUAUU